AGAAUCAACGCUGGCGGCGUGCCUAACACAUGCAAGUCGCACGAGAAAGGGACUUCGGUCCUGAGUACAGUGGCGCACGGGUGAGUAACACGUGAAUAAUCUACCUCCGAGUGGGGAAUAACUGAGAGAAAUCUUAGCUAAUACCGCAUAACACUUACGAGUCAAAGCAGCAAUGCGCUUGGAGAGGAGUUCGCGGCCGAUUAGUUAGUUGGCGGGGUAAUGGCCCACCAAGACGAUGAUCGGUAUCCGGCCUGAGAGGGCGCACGGACACACUGGAACUGAAACACGGUCCAGACUCCUACGGGAAGCAGCAGUGGGGAAUUUUGCGCAAUGGGGGAAACCCUGACGCAGCAACGCCGCGUGGAGGAUGAAGCCCUUGGGGUGUAAACUCUUUCGAUCGGGAAGAUAAUGACGGUACCGAUAUAAGAAGCCCCGGCUAACUUCGCGCCAGCAGCCGC
rnacentral:rRNA from 1 species